UAAUUUUUUCAUGUAAUAAAAAUUUCUAUUCUAUAACCCAUUAGUAGAGGAGUAAAACAGCACUGCCUGAUGGACUCAGAGCAAUAGGCUCUUUAGUCAUCUCAGCAAUAAAUCUACUGGCUAAACUUUUUUUAUUGCUCUGUGUGUUUAUCAUUAUUCAUUCUAGGUUGAAACUUCGGGCAUUGUAAUUUCUAGCACACUCCACGUAUGACUUAUUCAAGAUGUGAGCUGGUCGUCUUGCAGAACGGAUUAUUUGACGCUGCCAUUCCGGAUAAUGUUGUUUUAGUGUGUGAGCCUUCGCACUUUUUUGGCGAUCUUAUCAAAGUAGGUCAUCUCCGGUUUGGCUGUCCCUGAUGUCUUAAAAAAAGUAUGACGAGGCAAAAUAGUCCGAUAGAAAAAAAUGUUCAUACCGGAUUUACCAAUUAUUUGAUCGAAUUGCCUUCGACGUUUUUCGUAUCUUGCUGUGCAUGCGUGUCUACGUCUGCAAUGAUGGAGUGUAAUGUCUCUGCAGAAACGUAAUCAGCACUCGUUUCGUCCGAAACGGAUCUGGUUUACAUGCGAUUCGCAUUGUCGAUUUUCGGUAUUGAGAAUGGGAUUUGGAAAAUAAUAGAAUACAUAUACAUAAAAUUAUGGCAAAGGAUGCCAAGGCUGCAGCUGUUUGGCGUCGGCCUCAACAGGUGGCGCAACCGGCUCCAAACAAGUCAAAGUCAACAGUUGAACACAUGAUAGGAAUCAGUUGAUUACCAAGCCUCAUCUCGAUUACACACGCUCAACCCGGUUUCUUAAUUUCAUAUUUUUUCCCCUUCGAACCUUUCCGAGGUCCCACUCGCCAUCCACAACACGACUCCUCGUCAGCGGAAUUUGUGUCUUAAGCGUGAUUGCUCGUAGUCCACCGUCAUUUAGCAAUCUCGACCGAAGAUGACCGAAGAAGAGAUGUCCAAAUGCGUCGAGCGGAUCUGCACCGAGGUCGGAGCGGGUGCCAAAAUCAUGGAAGAAUUCCACAAUUUGUACAGAGACAGACUGACCAAGGACGGACGAGGAGAAAUUAAAGAAGAAACAGUUAAGACUCUUGAGGAAUGGGUCAGUGAUCUUACCGAACAGAAUCAGUUUCUGUUAAAAGCAGUUGAAGAACUGGAAAAGGAGGCACUGGGUAGGGUGAACCUGCUGGACAGCCUUGCACAAUCCCAAAAGGCAGAGGAUCAGGACACAAGUUAUUUCAGUGAAAGUAUAAAACAUUUAGAACAAAAAUUAACAAUGGCCCAGAAAGGUCUAUGUGCCAAAGAGACAGAAACCAAGUACCUCAAAAUGAAGAUUUGCGAUUUAGAAAAGCAACUAUGUAACAAGCUGGAGAGUAAUAAUACCAUAGAAGACCUUCUAUGCACUAAAAAAGGCUUGGAAAGCAAACUGGACUUCAUUGAAACUGAACUUACAAACACAAAACUGCAAGUAGAAGAAUUAAGUAACCUUCUCAUAGAAAAAGAUAUUGAGCUCAGAGAAUGUCAAGAAUCAGAAAAUUCAGAAUUGUGCAAAUUAAAGGCUCAAUGCGAACAAAUGAAAACAUGCCUAGAGGAAUCUGAAUUACAGAAGAGAGCAUUAAAAGAAAUAAAUGAAGAAAGAGAGGUAUAUUCAAAAAUGGCGCAAAAGUUAAAACAGUUUGAGUUCUUUAGAGAGAAAUUGCAAAAACUGCAUGCCGAGUUGGAUGAGGCACUUAAAAAGAAUAUAAAGGAUGAAAAAGAUUUAGAAUAUUAUAAGAAAUGCACUCGGAACAAGAAUCAUGAGGGAUGUUUGGAAUGUAAAGAAAGAGGAAAUAGCAACAUCGCACUGGAAGAGCUUAAGAAAAAAAUUGAGGACGAUAAAGACCUUCAACUUGCUCUUACGGCGGAAGUGGCGGAGAAGCACGACAUCAUAGUCAAGCUCAAAGACCAAGUGAAAGAACUCGAGGAACAGUUGAGGCAGUCGGACAUGCAAACCCAUUAUAAAGAUGACAUCAUACAACAACUAAGAAAAGAAGUCAAGCUAGGCAGGGCAAAGGAGUCACUUGCCGAAAUGCUAGGCCUUAAGGAGGGCCCAAGGGCACAAAUGAAAGCUCGGAUUGACCAUUUACAUGCUGAACUGGAGGAAAGGAAUUCUGAGAUACUGAGGCUGGAGACACGUCUUGACCGUAGCAGCCUAGCUGCCCUUGAAUCAAGGCUCCGUAUCCAGACUGAGGAGCUUUUCAGCAGAAAUCAAAAAAUUUUAGAAAUGUGUGACAAAUUAGAUUACAUAAGGCGUUAUCUGGAUAAACUCCGCUCUGAUGAGCCUCUAAGUGUAAAGUGCGGACUUGAAGCUUUGCUUUUAGAGCUGACUGAAGAUGUAGAAUGGAAUCGUGAGACGCGCCGACAUGCUUCUUUAUCGCUUGACAAGGAUCCAAGUGAUUCCAUAAUAAUUAUUAAUCACCGAAGCCACUCUCUCCCCGAUACGUCCCUCCAGAAACAAAUGUGUAAUUUGUUGAGUACUUCAGAUGCAGAAGUGUUUCGAAAGCAAACAAUCCAAAAAAGUACCUACUCUCUGACGGAUAACUGCCAUGUUAACAUAGUGAACUGUCUCGAAGAGUUCAGCAAGUUUUUCAAUGAGAAGAAUGAUCAAAUCCUGCAAGCAUGGAGCUCACUCAGAGAUGAUAAUUGGAAACCUUACUCAACUUGUGAACUGGAAUCUGUGAGAAAAUCAAUCGAAGGUGAAAAAGAAAUGCUGAUAAGCGCCUCAACCAGUAUGAAAGCAAUAAUAGAAAACAUAAUUACACCUAAGGAGAUAUUAAGCCUCGAGUGUCACGAAGAAGACCAACACACAUGCAGUGGGGUUUCAGAAAUUAAAGAAGACCACAGCAUGCCAAAAUUACCAAAAAUACACUUGGAAAAGAUUGGAAUAAUUCAAAAUAAUAUAAAUCAGGCAAUAGUGGAAAAAGAAAGUGUCCUUCAAAAAUUAAACAGCAUCAAGAUGUUCCAGGAAAGCUGUUACCAGCAACUUGAAGCAAAGUUAAGCCAAAUGGAUAUGAACUUAAAAGAACACGGGAACAUUGUGAAAGAUGUUAAAAGUGAACUCCAAAUUCUACUCGAUACGGCAAAGGAUCAGGAUCUCAGAAUUACAAGUAAUGAAAGCGUUAAUUUCCUAAAACUUAUUGAGUCAGCAAAUAUAUUUUCAGCACUUGAAAAUCAGGAAGAUGCAAUUUUGAUAGAAACUGAAGUCGAGUCUAAUUCAUUGGACGAAUGUCUCGCAAAGCCACACCAACAUAUCCAUACAAUAGCGUACAAACUGCAAAAAGAGGUCAAGUCGUGCGUGCUGGACUUACGCCGACGUGAAAAGGCUUUAAGCGACAUUGUCAAUGAGGGUACUCGACUGCACAAAGCUAUGAGUUCACUCCAGAAUGAAUUGACAACACUUGAACCUGUUGUAAUGAAUAGUAGAAAAAUUUGUAAAAUGGCCAGUUUGCAAAAAUCUAUUUCAAUGAUGGCUGAUGACAUCCACAAUAUGCUCAUGACCGCAAAGAAUUAUAACUCUGAAAGGGAGCUGGCUGAGGCAAAACACUUAAUUUCUGAAAAGAAAAUCGAAGACUUACAGUCCAAGUUAAAAUCCACGAUUGAUAAUUUCAUUCUUUCAGUUGAGUCGUCGAGAGAUGGGGACAAUCAGCAGUUGAUGAAGUGGAAAGAAGAUGUCCAAAAAUACAGGCUCAAGCUUGAAGAAUUACUUAAACAGGAGAAGGAAAUGAAAACAAAUAGCAUGAAAGAACAGCUUGUCAAAGAACAACGCAUAUAUUUCUUGGAGCAAGAAUUAAGCAACUCUUUACACACUUAUGCUGAAUUUCAAGCAGAAAAAUUAAAUGAAUUGCAAUGCAAAAUGGAUGAAAUUGAAGAGUUGAAGACAAAUUUGAAAAUUUCAGAAACAUCGAUUGAAGAGUUGAAUGAACAAUUGAAAUGCAUGAAAGAAAAAGAAAAAGAAAAUACAAGACUGUCUAUUCUCAUUAAAGGAAUGGGAGACUGUAAAAAUGAAGCAGAGAGUUUACAACAGCAACUCAAAAUAUCUACUGAACAUCUGGAAGUGCUUAAAUUCGAGAAUGCAUCUUUGGUGCGGAUUAAUCAAGAAAUUAUCCAAGAGAACAAGAAAUCUCUGAAGGAAAAGGAUAAUAUGAUAACUGAUUUAAAAAAUAAAAUCAUGUCAGAGGCACAGCGUGUUGUUGAAAUUUCAACAUUAUUUGAAAGUACCAAGUUUGAAAAAGACAAAGCUAUAGAAAACCUAAAUACGAAGAUGCAUAAUUUUUGUAUGAUAUUGAAAAGCAGUUCGUGUCUGGUUAAAGGCCUCCAAGAAAACUUUAGAAAAAUAAAGCAAGCAAACGCUCAAGAAAUCAACUGCCUAAACCAAAAUUUCAAUACACUGAAACAACUCUUUACAAAAAUUCAAGAACAGGUUUAUGUAUUGCACAAGAAAGAAGACCAAUUAGUUAACUUAGGAGAAGAAUACAAAAAGUUGAAAGAGGAGCGAACACAACUGAUUGAAGAGCUCGAACUUCUUAAACAGAAAGUCGAUGAUAUUCAAACAAAAUUUAAUAGUUGUUCAAUAGAAUUGAAAGAAAAAGAUAAAGAAAUAGAAAUGUUAAAGCAUAAACAAAAUAAUGCUGAAGAAGAAUUAAAAAAUACUGAACAACGACUUAAGCAACUUGUAAUGUCUAAAGAAGAAGAAAUCUACCUCCAGAAAACUGUAUUGGAUGAAUUGAAUGAUAGACUGGAGGAACAUGAAGAUGAAGUUAAGCACCUUAAAGCUUCACUUGAAAAGGCAAAUUUCUUAAAACAUGAACUUGACCAACAAAGGGAAAGAGAAAGAAUUAAGAAUAAAACACUUGAAACAAAAUGCAAUGAACUUGAAAAGAUUAGUGAUGAACUGAAAGCACAACUAGAAAAAUUGAAUGAAGAAAAAGAAAAUAUGAUUGAAGAGCGAAAUCUAACUUUGGGUGAGCUUCAAUCUAAGAUAACGAACCUUGAAUUUGAAAAUGGAAGGCUUGAAGAGAAGUUAAUAAAACAAGACAAUUGGGAUCAAAUUGAAGAAUACAAAAUGAAACUAAUGGAUGCUAAAAAGGAGAUUGACAAAUUUCACAAAAUCUGCCUGGAACAUGAGAACCUGCAAGAAAACCUCAUGAAUAAAGCAGUCGUUCUCAGAAGGAAAGAAAAAGAGUUAUUUGGUCUGAAGAGAACUGCAGUCAAAUCUGAAAUGACCAUAAAAGCGCUGAGGGCAAGACUGAAGGCAUUCGCGGAUCUCUGCAAGACAUUGAAAACAGAACGGGUAACGAUACUUGAGAUGAAUAAACAACUGACUUGGACUAAAUGGUAUAAUUUAAUGGUUCAUCGUUGAAGGAAAAAAUAUGUGAACAGUUGAAAGAGCACAAGCACUGUGUUGAAGAGAAGGAACUGUUAACAAAAGAAAACCAAAAUCUUCUUCAAACAAUUGAUACAAAGGAAGAUAUGUUAAAAAGAAUGACCGGUGUUAUAAACAUGCUUAGCGAACACUCAUGUAAAAUUGACACAGACGCAAGUGCAACUUUUGAUGAGCAGUCAAGAAAGUUAGAAAAUAUUGUUGAACGUUUACAAGUAGCCAACACAAAUCUUUCAGAUGAGAACAAUGCUUUAAAAAGGGAAAUCCAGUCGCUGUGCAGUGCCAAAUAUGACUCAUCACAAGCCAUAGAGGUGAAGGGAGAACAAUCAAAAGAGAAGUUGGUCCUGAUUAACAAACUAACAACGU
rnacentral:misc_RNA from 1 species